UUUUGGGGGAGUGAAAAUCCAAUGAUUAAAUUUUGAAAAAUUUGCCAUUUCCUUUUUCCCAACCCAAGAGAAUUUAAAUUCACAUAACAAAAACAAAGUAUUUAUGAGUUACUUCUUUUCAAAGUUUUGUAGUUAUUGGUAAGAUUCUUGGUACUUUUUUAAAUGUUAUAGCAAUAUUAAGUAUAACAAUCAACUAGGGAUAUAUAUUUUUGACUUGUAAAGUCUAUAAGUCUUGUCAUUCAGUUUUCUUAAAUGUGUCUUACUUGUAUACUUAUUCAAUACAGUUCAAUUUUGAUAGCAUAGUCCCCCCUUGUGCACAAUUGAUAAGAUAUAUCCUUCCAAAAAUCCCCUCUUAACCCUUAUCUAUUUGAUUAUUUAUGAUGAUUGUAAAUCUUUAAGAAAUAUCAGGCCUGACGUUUGAAGUUCAGUAUCAGGACAUCAGAUAUAAUCAUUUUGUAUAUUUGACGCAGAAAUACAAAAGCUUCAAAAAAAUCAAAAAAUUCACACAGCUAAUGAAACCAUUAAAUAAUAUAAGUUGUACAACAUUCAUAUUUUUUAGACCACCCUAAUAUAUAGCUAUACAUUUUUGAAGGAAAACUACUUAAGAGAGUGCUGCUUGAUUUUGUUUAUCAAUACAAAAAUAUUUUUCAACAGUAUACUAUAUUCUACUAAAACACAUCUGAUCAAAAUGCCUAACCCCUGUGGACAAUGCUCAUGUGGAAAAGAGUGUGGAAAAUGUUCAUGCACAAAUUGUACUUGUUCCGGAUGCAAAAAGUAACGCACUCCUUACAAUGCACAUGAAUUAUAUAAUUUCGAUAUCAUGUAAUUACUUAUGUAAUAAAAAACAUUUAUAAUAAAGUAUUAUUAUUUUUAA
rnacentral:lncRNA from 1 species